GAAAAGUUUUUCCCCUACACCUUCCCUUCAUACUAUGCAGUGGAGCAGUAAGAACACUCUUCAGAGACCGAGGGCCACAGCUGCUGUGAUUUGAAAUCCAUCCACCCCUUAAUUUGGCCCAGGCUGUACCUCCUAUUGGCGGCUCCCACCAGGGACUGAGUGCAGUGAUGUACUGAGGCCGACCCUGCCCUGGAAGACAGUGCUUCCCUGAGAAAUGACGAUCUAGUUGAUGGAUAGUGUCUGGGCACAUCAGAAGGUGGGAGAGCAUCUGAGCAGCUGAGGAACAAGAAAGAGUUUGAAAUGAACAUGCUUUGCUGAGCCUGGUAUGUUGGAGGUUGACUGUAUAAUGGAGUUCUCCACAUUAACUUCCAUGCAGAAUAUAAUGUUUAUUAAAGGACAAGUAACCCAAAUAGG